AGAGGGGACGAAUGGAUAUGUCUGCUGUGUAUGUGAGUCAUGGGAAAAAAUAUAAAAUAUAGCCUCUUGGUGUCCUCUGAGGCUAAAGUGAAGGCUGGAUCACCAACAGAGAAAAGAGGACAACUGCCCCAAGGCAACAGAGCUCCAGGGUGCCCAGAAAGCUCCAGGCUCGUCAACUGUGAUUAAGAGCAUGAUUUGGAAACCAUUUCCAGAAACAAAGCGACGUAUGUGAUGUUGUUCGUGACUCCUGCUCACUGAAGCGCACAAUCAAAGCCAAAUGAGUCCAUAAACAGACUCUGACAUGCAAGCUGUCAUCUGAUGGACAUUUGGCUCUGCCAGAGCUCAUUUGAAGCCGGGUUAGGUGGAAAGCUUCCCCCUUUGACAUCUGGGCCGCUCUUUUUUUGCCAAAAUUAAUUAAAUUCCCCGUCUAACCAGAGCUGCCAACAAACUGUCAGCAAAAAAGCAACAUGCUUGGACUGAAGAGAACUCACAUCUCUCUCUCCAUCUGUCUUGGAAAUCUGCAUGGAGCGACCUGUCUCUAGUCUGUCUUAAUUUGUAAUUAUGUGGAGGCGGCAUCACAAACUGGACUUGAUUGACAUGGAUUUUCUCAAUGUGUCAUUGU